CUUGUGCCUCUGCCAGCCUAAUCCCUGGAAAUAAGACUUCUUUACUUCCGAGCGUUUUCCUGGGUCCUGCCUCACAUCUGACCAGGGCAGGUGGCCUCCUCAUCACACUGCUGCCUCUGCUGUUGGCCCUGCUCAUGAAGCCACUAAACAUAUGGUCUCAGCUCUCUUGUCCUCCAAGAAAGACAACCACCACUGCUGCCUUUCUGAUCUCACGAUGUUUUGGGGAAAGAAGCCUCCUUGCCUCUCCAAAAAACCACAUAAAGCCAUCGGGGCCAUUUUCCUAGGUGACUGUAGGAGAAAUAUCAAGAUAAAGUGAUGUGCAACCAGCAGGGGAGAAUCCAGGUGAAAGUGGUGAAGAACAUGGGAACCUCUCUCCCAGGUGAAAAGAAUUUCCUGGCCUGGGGAAAGAAGGAAGAGAAAGAGAUCUGUAGGUCCUGGGAGCAGAGAGGACCUCUAUGCUCCUUUCGGCAAUGCCCUGAAUAUGAUCAGUAAUAGUAACAACAAUGACAAUAGCAACAGCAAUGAUAAUGAGAGCAGCUGACUGCUACUGAACACUGACUAUGUACCAGGAAUUGUGCUAAGUACUUUAUGUUACAUUACCUCAAUUUUGUCCUCACAACAACUCUGGGAGGUAGGUAAUAUACAUAUCUCCACUUUACAGAUGAAAAUCUGAAGCUUAGGAAAUGGAAGAACAUCUGCCGGAGGUCACACAGAUAUGGCACGUUCAUGAUGUGAAUCCAAGUGAUGCCGAAGUCAGCCUUCUUAAUCAUUCACAAUUCUGCCCCUCUUCAGUGAGGCCUCCAAGACCAGCUGCCUGGGGAACUCAGGCAGAGAAAGCUAUCUGCAGCCAGGUAAGAGCUUCUCGUUUCUCCUGCAGGUCACAGAGGUGGUUGAAGGCCCCUGGGCCUGAGGAGUCCUGCAGACAGGACAAACAAUAAACAAAGAUCAGAGGGCAAGCUCUCCACUCUUCUUUCCUCCCCAAUUCCAAUGACCCAGGUGAGAGGAUGGCGGAGAAGGAACUAAGAGUUACCAAGGGCAAAUUUUCUACUGGCCUGGAAGAUGUGGACUUGGUAUAAAAUGUAAUUAAGCAUAAUUACAGAAAAUAACAAAUAUAUUUCUUGUGCAUACAAAUUUGUAAAGGGAGAUUUAUACCCAUUACACAGAUUGUCUCUAUUUUCACUGUUAUCACUGCAUUAUAAUUAGAUUAUUUCGUGUAGAUUAUGAACAACUAUAAGUUAGGAAAUUUCUGUUGUUUGACUUUGUCAUCUAUACGUAGCAGAGUGCCAGGCUUAUGCUGAUUGAAUGGAUUAUUGAAAUAAUAAGAUUUGUCUAUUACUCUAUUUUUCCCCCAGCAAAUUCUGUUCACUUAAAAUGUUGAAGUCUUUAUUGUGAAUAUAAAGUCAGUUAACACAAAUAACUUAUAUCUCAAAUGUCCUUGCUCUUAGAGGUAUAUUUCCC
rnacentral:lncRNA from 1 species